rfam:Punica granatum cultivar Dabenzi scaffold3, whole genome shotgun sequence.
UUAGCGAUUGGGGGGACAGGUGAGAUUGUCCCUCGCAAUGAGGAAGAACGGCGAGGCAAAUCGACAAAGGCCGAGAUAUCGUUUCAUUCGCCAUUUUCUAUGGAUUGGCGAUAUGAUUGUUGCUCGUCUAUAU